CUCAGUUGUCCCAUCUGCAGAGUGUGCUGCCAGGGUCUAUGCUCAGAAAGUGACUUCAGAACGUAGCGGUGUGGAACUGCAGCAGCACUGAUUUCGCUCGUGAACCUGCAGUGUGGACUUGGUGGGGACGGCUCGCCUGCACUCCGGGUGGCAGGAGGUAGAGUUGGGUGUUGGGGGCUGGGGUCGUUAGAGCUCACCAUGCAACAUGACACACACCGCUACAUACACACCACUACACACACUAGAUACACCACUACACACACCACUACACACACUACACACACCACUACACACACACACUACACACACUACACCACUACACACACCACUACACACACUACACGCACACAGUACACACACCACUACACACACUACACGCACACAGUACACACACCACUACACACACUACACACACCACUACACACACACACCACUACACACACUAGAUACACCACUACACACACCACUACUCACACUACACGCACAGUACACACACCACUACACACUACAUACAAACCACUACACACACUACACACACACACCACUACACGCACACACUACACACACCACUACACACACACUACAUACACCACUACACACACCACUACACAUACUACACACACAGUACACACACCACUACACACUACAUACAAACCACUACACACACUACACACACACACCACUACACGCACACUACACACACCACUACAUAUACCACUACACACACCACUACACACACACUACAUACAAACCACUACACACACCACUACACACUACAUACCACUACACACACCACUACACACACUACACGCACACACUACACACACCACUACACACACACACUGCAUACACCACUACACACACACCGCUACACACUACACGCACACAGUACACACACCACUACACACACACUACAUACAAACCACUACACGCACACUACACACACCACACACACACCACACACACCAUUACACACACUACACUACACACACCACUACACACACACCACUGCAUACACACUACAUACACCACUACACACACUACACACACUACACACACUACACACACAACCACUACACACACACUACACGCACACACUACACACACAACCACUACACGUACCACUACACACUACACACAACCACUACACACACCACUACACACACACCACUACAUACACCACUACACACACCACUACACACACCACUACACACACUACACGCACAGUACACACACUACACACACAACAUACAAACCACUACACACACUACACACACCACUACACACACACUACACACACCACUACACACACACACUACACACACUACACACACACCACUACACACCACUGCAUACACACCACUGCAUACACCACUACACACACCACUACACGCCACUACACACUACACACACCACUACACACAACACACAACCACUACACACACACUACACACACCACUACACGCACACACUACACACACCACUACACACACUACACACAACCACUACACACACCACUACACACGCACCACUACACACACGCACCACUACACACUACACACACACCACUACACACACACCAUUACACACUACACACACCACUAUGCACACACAUACACACCACUACACACACAUUACGCUACACACACACUACACACACUACAGGCACACACUACACCACUACACACACACUACACACAUUACACACACUACACACUCCACUAUGCACACACUACACAAACACCACUACACACACACUACACACACACCACUACACUACACACACCACUAUGCACACUACAUACACACACCACUACACUCACACACCAUUACACACACACUACACACACCACUACACACCACUACACACACACCAUUACACACACACUACACACACCACUACACACCACUACACACACACCAUUACACACACACUACACACACCACUACACACCACUAUGCACACACUACACACACACCAUUACACACACACUACACACACCACUACACACACACUACACACACACACCACUAUGCACACACUACACACUACACAUACACACCACUACACACACCAUUAGACACCACUACACACACACUACACACCACUACACACUACACACACACCACUAUGCACACACUACACAUACCACUACACACACACCAUUACACACACACUACACACACUACACACUACACACACACCACUACACACUACACACACCACUAUGCACACACUACACAUACACGCCACUACACACACCACUACACACACGCAACACACACCACUAUGCACACACCACUACACACACUACACACACCACUACACUACACACACACCACUAUGCACACUACACAUACACACC
rnacentral:lncRNA from 1 species